AUUGAACGCUGGCGGCAGGCUUAACACAUGCAAGUCGAGCGGAUGAGGGGAGCUUGCUCCGGGUUCCAGAGGGGGACGGGUGAGAAUUGCAUGGGAAUCUGCUUGGCAGGGGGGGAUAACGUCCGGAAACGGGCGCUAAUACCGCAUACGACCUGAGGCAGAAGGUGGGGGAUGUUCGGACCUCACGCUCGCAGAGGAGCCUAGGUCGGGUUAGUUAGUUGGUGGGUAAGGGCCUACCAAGGCGACGAUCCGAAACUGGUCUGGGAGGAUGAUCAGUCACACUGGAACUGAGACACGGUCCAGACUCCUACGGGAGGCAGCAGUGGGGAAUAUUGGACAAUGGGCGAAAGCCUGAUCCAGCCAUGCCGCGUGUGUGAAGAAGGUCUUCGGAUUGUAAAGCACUUUAAGUUGGGAGGAAGGGCAGUAAGUUAAUACCUUGCUGUUUUGACGUUACCAACAGAAUAAGCACCGGCUAACUUCGUG
rnacentral:rRNA from 1 species